rnacentral:lncRNA from 1 species
UGUUGCGCCACCUUAUUUUUGGGCCAGGCCCAUGUAAUUUCGAAAUACCAUAAUAUAGGCUAUUUUUAGAGUCCAUAUAUGUAGGGAAACCGACUUUAGUGCUGUUUUCGGACCCAUCCUCCAAGGGUCACACAAUUGCCUCUCUAUUCCCUCAUAUAUACAGCCCUUAGGGCACCGUUUAGACUUGGGUUUUGUUUAGAUUACAUGUUCUCCAUAGCUGCAACUUUGCAUUCUUCGUUUGUGUUUACGACUAGACAAAGGCGUCACAGAACUCCACCUUCAUCAAUAAAGCUUUCCUCUUAUAUUCGCAAUAUCUUGAUUGCAUCUUAGUUUCUUGCUUGUUCUUCGUUUGCGUGCAGGAAACAGAGCUUCGUGGUCAGGUUGAUCGUGCUCCGGCGUGGUCAAUAACAUCUCAGAGUUGGUUUAGCGAUUGCUAAGGCGCGACGCCCUCACACGUUCGUAGUCGGAUCGUCAAAAUCGACUCUACCAAAAUGAUACCCACGAUCUCAUCGAAAGACAGGAACAACUUCACGCCUCUAUCAAGUGGUAUCAGUCCAGGUUGCUCGGUGAGAUUUUACCAGUUUUUCAUAGUUAGAUCGCAUCUGUUCUUCAUACCUAUCAUCCACGAAAAAGCCAUAAAAAUUAGGGUUAGAUCAUCAUAUCCGAACCAAUCUGAGCCUUUCCAUAGUCUUUUCAGUAGUUUGCUUAGUUGAAUUUGCGGUUACAUCAUCGUGUCGAGUUGCUGGUCUUAGUGUCUAGUCCUUUAGAGUUUGAGUUCCGUUCACAGGUUGUCACGCCGCUGCCGCACCGUCUUUCAUUGGUGCCAUAUAUCACCUCCACGCUACCAUCAUCGCUGCUGCCAUAUACCACCUCCAAGCUACCAUCAUCGCUGCUGCCAUAUACCACCAUCACGCCACCAUUAUCCUUGCUGCCAUAUACUACCACCAUAUACCCACCACAAUCCUAGUUUGCAUCCUUUUCGUCUUAGGUUAAUUUCGAGAUCUCCUUGAUUUUGGUUUCGCGUUUCGUCUCUAUCACAACACGUAUGGAUCACAUUUAACUUGGAAGGAAAAGGAUGUUCUUAUC